AUUGAACGCUGGCGGCAGGCCUAACACAUGCAAGUCGAGCGGAUGAAGGGAGCUUGCUCCUGGAUUCAGCGGCGGACGGGUGAGUAAUGCCUAGGAAUCUGCCUGGUAGUGGGGGAUAACGUCCGGAAACGGGCGCUAAUACCGCGUACGUCCUGAGGGAGAAAGUGGGGGAUCUUCGGACCUCACGCUAUCAGAUGAGCCUAGGUCGGAUUAGCUAGUUGGUGGGGUAAAGGCCUACCAAGGCGACGAUCCGUAACUGGUCUGAGAGGAUGAUCAGUCACACUGGCACUGAGACAAGGUCCAGACUCCUACGGGAGGAAGCAGUGGGGAAUAUUGGACAAUGGGCGAAUGCCUGAUCCAGCCAUGCCGCGUGUGUCAAGAAGGUCUUCGGAUUGUAAAGCACUUUAAGUUGGGAGGAAGGGCAGUAAGUUAAUACCUUGCUGUUUUGACGUUACCAACAGAAUAAGCACCGGCUAACUUCGUG
rnacentral:rRNA from 1 species